UAUACGCAAUACGGAUCAUAAAAGGAAAAAAUAAAUACGUUGAUACGUUUUUUACCUUUAUAAUGAAAUCUUUUUUUCUUGAAUCAAUUUAAUAAUGGUAAAAAUUAUUGUUGUCCUUUUCCUGACCGAACUUGUUCUUGGUCUUCGAGUGGUGCCACAUCAUAGAAGAUCACUUAGAAAUGACCGAUUAGAAAAUCAUAAAAGUGGUAACAUUUUAGAACGAAUUUUAAGUGAUUUGUCUACGAGACGGUUGCUAAAAAGCAGAUCCACAAACCAUGAAAACUUGUCGAAAGCUCAACAUAUUUACAAAGCGUUAUCGAAGUAUAUGCCAAAACAUAAAUUGAAAAAAAUGCUACGUGAGGAUGAAGAAACUCCUGAAGUAGCCAUCCCAGCUGAUCCAGAAAGAGAGAAUGUAAGAAACGAACAAGCGGUAAUAGUGGAACAUGAGCUUAUGGACGCUCUCACUAAACAGAGUUCUGCUUUACUGGAUUCGCCAUAUGUCGAGAAAAAGGGAAGAAAUGAUUUUCUAGUCAUGAAACCUGAUAUUACAGACCCAUUCGUGACAGUGAUACCUAACGCAAUAUACUACAACGUGGAAAAGAAAUGUGUCAACUGGCUAGAUGAUUGUAGCCUACAAGGCAUAAGAAGUAGGUUAUUAAAUAAAGUAAUGGAUUAACAUUACUCUGGAUGAACUUGCAUUUCUUAAAAAUAAUAACUUUAGUAUCUUGUUCUUUUGAUUAUACAAAUUCUAUAACUCUGUACAUUUGCAAUGUUUGUAUACCGUUGAUAGCGCUUAAAAUCGUAUUAUGGAUGCUAAAUAUAACUAGUUUUGGACGGAAA